rnacentral:ncRNA from 1 species
GCUAGGGGCGCUUUAUGCUGAGAUGGAGGCUUUUGCCUCGGUCCCUCAUGACCUGAACAGGAUAAUGCCUGCGUAGGGAAGCUUAU